rnacentral:rRNA from 1 species
GGAAUAUUGGACAAUGGGGGCAACCCUGAUCCAGCAAUGCCGCGUGUGUGAAGAAGGCCUUAGGGUCGUAAAGCUCUUUCGCCAGAGAUGAUAAUGACAGUAUCUGGUAAAGAAACCCCGGCUAACUCCGUGCCAGCAGCCGCGGUAAUACGGAGGGGGUUAGCGUUGUUCGGAAUUACUGGGCGUAAAGCGCACGUAGGCGGAUUGGAAAGUAUGGGGUGAAAUCCCAGGGCUCAACCCUGGAACUGCCUUGUAAACUCCCAGUCUAGAGUUCGAGAGAGGUGAGUGGAAUUCCAAGUGUAGAGGUGAAAUUCGUAGAUAUUUGGAGGAACACCAGUGGCGAAGGCGGCUCACUGGCUCGAUACUGACGCUGAGGUGCGAAAGUGUGGGGAGC